ensembl:snRNA U6 U6 spliceosomal RNA
GUGCUCACUUCAGCAAUAUAUAUACUAAAACUAGAAAGAUACAGGGAAGGUUAGCAUGGCCCCUGUGCAAGGAUAACAUGCAAAUUCUUGUGGCAUUCCAUAUUUUU